rnacentral:snRNA from 1 species
GUUAGUGAGAGUGAUCUACCCAUGACAUCUUUCACCCCACUGAUCUCCAUGAUUGAUUUGGUUUUUCUUGCUGACUAGGUGGGUGUCCCGUUCCUCUCUCACUGCUCCAUGUGCAUCCCUCCCAAAACUGCCUGCUUAGUAAAAGAGGAUGACCAUUCCAGACCAAAGGAGUGUGCCAUUCUUUGGUCAAGGGUAUACCAUAUUUGUGAUCCCCAGCUAGAAUCUACAGACAAGCUCAAGGGCUGCCAGUACUUGCAUGGCAUGGUUUGCUGUCCUGAGGACUGAAAGUUUGUUUUAUCAUAUAGAUGCUGGCAGUUCCCU